UACGUAGGGGGCAAGCGUUGUCCGGAUUUACUGGGUGUAAAGGGCGCGUAGGCGGGUUUGUAAGUUAGAGGUGAAAUCCUGCAGCUUAACUGUAGAACUGCCUCUGAUACUGCAAAUCUUGAGUUCAGAAGAGAGUGGCGGAAUUCCAGGUGUAGUGGUGAAAUACGUAGAUAUCUGGAAGAACACCAGUGGCGAAGGCGGCUACUUGGUCUGCAACUGACGCUGAGGCGCGAAAGCGUGGGGAUCAAACAGGAUUAGAUACCCUGGUAGUCCACGCUGUAAACGAUGAAUACUAGGUGUUGGAUACAUUUGUAUCCAGUGCCGCAGUUAACGCAUUAAGUAUUCCACCUGGGGAGUACGAUCGCAAGGUUGAA
rnacentral:rRNA from 1 species